ACGCUGGCGGCAUGCUUUACACAUGCAAGUCGGACGGCAGCACAGAGAAGCUUGCUUCUUGGGUGGCGAGUGGCGAACGGGUGAGUAAUAUAUCGGAACGUACCGAGUAAUGGGGGAUAACUAAUCGAAAGAUUAGCUAAUACCGCAUAUUCUCUGAGGAGGAAAGCAGGGGACCUUCGGGCCUUGCGUUAUUCGAGCGGCCGAUAUCUGAUUAGCUAGUUGGUGGGGUAAAGGCCUACCAAGGCGACGAUCAGUAGCGGGUCUGAGAGGAUGAUCCGCCACACUGGGACUGAGACACGGCCCAGACUCCUACGGGAGGCAGCAGUGGGGAAUUUUGGACAAUGGGCGCAAGCCUGAUCCAGCCAUGCCGCGUGUCUGAAGAAGGCCUUCGGGUUGUAAAGGACUUUUGUCAGGGAAGAAAAGGCUGUUGCUAAUACCGACAGCUGAUGACGGUACCUGAAGAAUAAGCACCGGCUAACUACGUGCCAGCAGCCGCGGUAAUACGUAGGGUGCGAGCGUUAAUCGGAAUUACUGGGCGUAAAGCGAGCGCAGACGGUUACUUAAGCAGGAUGUGAAAUCCCCGGGCUCAACCUGGGAACUGCGUUCUGAACUGGGUGACUAGAGUGUGUCAGAGGGAGGUAGAAUUCCACGUGUAGCAGUGAAAUGCGUAGAGAUGUGGAGGAAUACCGAUGGCGAAGGCAGCCUCCUGGGAUAACACUGACGUUCAUGCUCGAAAGCGUGGGUAGCAAACAGGAUUAGAUACCCUGGUAGUCCACGCCCUAAACGAUGUCAAUUAGCUGUUGGGCAACUUGAUUGCUUAGUAGCGUAGCUAACGCGUGAAAUUGACCGCCUGGGGAGUACGGUCGCAAGAUUAAAACUCAAAGGAAUUGACGGGGACCCGCAC
rnacentral:rRNA from 1 species